rnacentral:rRNA from 1 species
UGGGGAAUUUUGGACAAUGGGCGAAAGCCUGAUCCAGCAAUGCCGCGUGUGUGAAGAGGGCCUUCGGGUUGUAAAGCACUUUUGUCCGGAAAGAAAUCCUUGGCUCUAAUACAGUCGGGGGAUGACGGUACCGGAAGAAUAAGCACCGGCUAACUACGUGCCAGCAGCCGCGGUAAUACGUAGGGUGCAAGCGUUAAUCGGAAUUACUGGGCGUAAAGCGUGCGCAGGCGGUUUGCUAAGACCGAUGUGAAAUCCCCGGGCUCAACCUGGGAACUGCAUUGGGUGACUGGCAGGCUAGAGUAUGGCAGAGGGGGGUAGAAUUCCACGUGUAGCAGCGAAAUGCGUAGAGAUGUGGAGGAAUACCGAUGGCGAAGGCAGCCCCCUGGGCCAAUACUGACGCUCAUGCACGAAAGCGUGGGGGAGCAAAACAGGAUUAGAUACCCUGGUAGUCCACGCCCUAAACGAUGUCAACUAGUUGUUGGGGGAUUCAUUUUCCUUAGUAACGUAGCUAACGCGUGAAGUUGACCGCCUGGGGAGUACGGUCGCAAGAUUAAAACUCAAAGGAAUUGAC